UACGUAGGGUGCAAGCGUUAAUCGGAAUUACUGGGCGUAAAGCGUGCGCAGGCGGUUGUUGACAAGACCAGAUGUGAAAUCCCCGGGCUCAACCUGGGAAUUGCAUUUGUGACUGCACGGCUAGAGUGUGUCAGAGGGGGGUAGAAUUCCACGUGUAGCAGUGAAAUGCGUAGAGAUGUGGAGGAAUACCGAUGGCGAAGGCAGCCCCCUGGGAUAACACUGACGCUCAUGCACGAAAGCGUGGGGAGCAAACAGG
rnacentral:rRNA from 1 species